GGGCGCGUGGCCUAAUGGUAAGGCGUCAGAUUUCGGCGCUUAAGAUGAUCUCUGAAAAUUGCAGGUUCGAUCCCUGCCGUGCUCG